rnacentral:rRNA from 1 species
GAUGAACGCUGGCGGCGUGCCUAAUACAUGCAAGUCGAACGCUGGAGAUCUAGCUUGCUAGAUCGAAGGAGUGGCGAACGGGUGAGAAAUACAUAAGCAACCUACCCACGAAGACUGGGAUAAUCUCUGGAAACGGGGACUAAUACCGGAUAGGUAAUCGGAAGGCAUCUUCUGGUUAUUAAAGGUUAAAAACACUGGUGGAUGGGCUUAUGGCGCAUUAGUUAGUUGGUGAGGUAACGGCCCACCAAGACGAUGAUGCGUAGCCGGCCUGAGAGGGUGAACGGCCACAUUGGGACUGAGACACGGCCCAGACUCCUACGGGAGGCAGCAGUAGGGAAUUUUCGGCAAUGGGGGCAACCCUGACCGAGCAACGCCGCGUGAGUGAAGACGGCCUUCGGGUUGUAAAGCUCUGUUGUAAGGGAAGAACGGUAGAUAGAGAAUAUCUAAGUGACGGUACCUUACCAGAAAGCCACGGCUAACUACGUG